rnacentral:rRNA from 1 species
UACGUAGGGUCCGAGCGUUGUCCGGAAUUAUUGGGCGUAAAGAGCUCGUAGGCGGUCUGUUGCGUCCGCUGUGAAAACUCGGGGCUUAACCCCGAGCCUGCAGUGGAUACGGGCAGACUAGAGGUAGGUAGGGGAGAAUGGAAUUCCCGGUGUAGCGGUGAAAUGCGCAGAUAUCGGGAAGAACACCCGUGGCGAAGGCGGCUCUCUGGGACGGUACUGACGCUGAGACGCGAAAGCGUGGGGAGCAAACAGG